rnacentral:rRNA from 1 species
GACAGAGGGUGCAAACGUUGUUCGGAAUUACUGGGCGUAAAGCGUGUGUAGGCGGCUACAUAAGUCGGAUGUGAAAGCCCCGGGCUCAACCCGGGAAGUGCACUCGAUACUGCGUAGCUUGAGUCUCGGAGAGGUUGGUGGAAUUCUCGGUGUAGAGGUGAAAUUCGUAGAUAUCGAGAGGAACACCGGUGGCGAAGGCGGCCAACUGGACGAAGACUGACGCUGAGACACGAAAGCGUGGGAAGCAAACAGG